AUACUUACCUGGACAGGGUCAAUGGGUGAUCAAAAAGGCCCAUGGCCUAGAGUAGUGACUUCCAUUGCACUUAGGAAGGGUGCUUCUCUAAGGUCUACCCAAGUGGUGGAGCCUAUGUCAUAAUUUGUGGCAGUGGGGGCCUGCGUUCGCGCGGCCUCUUC
rnacentral:snRNA from 1 species